rnacentral:rRNA from 1 species
UACGUAGGGACCAAGCGUUGUUCGGAUUUACUGGGCGUAAAGGGCGCGUAGGCGGCUUGACAAGUCACUUGUGAAAUCUCCGGGCUUAACUCGGAACGGCCAAGUGAAACUGUCGGACUAGAGUACAGAAGGGGCAACUGGAAUUCUCGGUGUAGCGGUGAAAUGCGUAGAUAUCGAGAGGAACACCUGCGGCGAAGGCGGGUUGCUGGGCUGAUACUGACGCUGACAGCGCGAAAGCGUGGGGAGCAAACAGG